GCCAGACUCCUACGGGAGGCAGCAGUGGGGAAUAUUGCGCAAUGGGGGAAACCCUGACGCAGCAACGCCGCGUGCAGGAAGAAGGUCUUCGGAUUGUAAACUGUUUUCGCAGGGGAAGAAGACAGUGACGGUACCCUGUGAGAAAGUCACGGCUAACUCCGUGCCAGCAGCCGCGGUAAUACGGAGGAUGCGAGCGUUAUCCGGAUUUAUUGGGUUUAAAGGGUGCGCAGGCGGCGAGUUAAGUCAGGGGUAAAAUUUGGGGGCACAACCCGGACAAGCCGUUGAAACUGGCUUGCUAGAGUGGGCGAGAAGUAUGCGGAAUGCGUGGUGUAGCGGUGAAAUGCAUAGAUAUCACGCAGAACUCCGAUUGCGAAGGCAGCAUACCGGCGCCCAACUGACGCUCAGGCACGAAAGCGUGGGUAUCGAACAGGAUUAGAUACCCCCGUA
rnacentral:rRNA from 1 species